rnacentral:rRNA from 1 species
GACGAACGCUGGCGGCGUGCUUAACACAUGCAAGUCGAACGGAAAGGCCCUGCUUUUGUGGGGUGCUCGAGUGGCGAAAGGGUGAGUAACACGUGAGUAACCUGCCCUUGACUUUGGGAUACUUCAGGAAACUGGGGCUAAUACCGGAUAGGAGCUCCUGCUGCAUGGUGGGGGUUGGAAAGUUUCGGCGGUUGGGGAUGGACUCGCGGCUUAUCAGCUUGUUGGUGGGGUAGUGGCUUACCAAGGCUUUGACGGGUAGCCGGCCUGAGAGGGUGACCGGCCACAUUGGGACUGAGAUACGGCCCAGACUCCUACGGGAGGCAGCAGUGGGGAAUAUUGCACAAUGGGCGGAAGCCUGAUGCAGCAACGCCGCGUGCGGGAUGACGGCCUUCGGGUUGUAAACCGCUUUCGCCUGUGACGAAGCGUGAGUGACGGUAAUGGGUAAAGAAGCACCGGCUAACUACGUG